UUCUGGUUCAGCUUCAACAUCAACCAUGUUCUCUACUCCUCUACUGCUGUUACUGUUAGCAGCUGUUUCCUGUGUUCACUGUGUUGAACUGAGUCAGUCUGGAUCUACAGUUGUAGCACCUGGUCAAUCAACUACACUGACCUGUAGAGUUUCUGGAUAUUCAGUAACUGAUAGCAGCUACUGUACAGACUGGAUACGACAGCCUGCAGGAAAAGCUCUGGAGUGGAUUGGAGGUAUAUGUGGUGGUGGUAGCACUGGCUACAGUGAUAAACUGAAGAGCAGGUUUGUAGUUACCAGAGACACGUCCAGCAGCACAGUGUCUUUAAGAGGACAGAAUCUGCAGACUGAAGAUACAGCUGUGUAUUACUGCGCUCGAGCACCACAGUGAAACACAUCAACAGGAACCCUGUACAAAAACCUCCUGCUGUAAAAAACACUUCUGAAGAUAUAUUACAGUCAGAACCACAUUACAACCAGUAGGUGUCAGUCUACUCCACUAAAUCAAACUCAUUUUUCCUGAGAAAACACAAUUAGAAAACUUCCUG